ensembl:snRNA U6 U6 spliceosomal RNA
GUGCUCAGUUCAGUAACACCCAUACUAAAAUUGGAAUGAUACAGAGAAGAUUAACAUGGCCCUUGUGCAAAAAUGGCAUGCACACUUUAAAGUCUUACCCCAGCAGG